UAUAAACCUCAUUAUGUGCUCUACCAGGUGGUCCAUCCUGUUGACAGGAAUUUACUUGUAUCCUAUGUUUCUGACUCUAGGGGCCCUGGGCCUCCAGCAGUCCUUGCAGGAUAGGCAUCUCGUGUCACUGGGUGUUUUCUCGAAGAAGGCUGGAGUGCAGUGGCAUGAUCUCAGCUCACCGCAACCUUCACCUCCCAGGUUCAAGCUAUUCUCCUGCCUCAGCCUCCUGAGUAACAGGUGUGUGCCACCAUGUCUGGCUAAUUUUUGUGUUUUUAGUAGAGACGGGGUUUCACCAUGUUGGCCAGGCUGGUCUUGAACUCCUGACCUCAGGUAUUCUGCCUGCCUCGGCAUCCCAAAGUGCUGGGAUUACAAGCAUGAGCCACUGGGCCCAGCCAAAUGUUCAUAUUUUUAUUUUUAACUCCCGUGGUUCAACUUUGGGCAAGACAACCUUCUUUCAGUAUCAGUUUCCUGACCUGCAAAAUGAUGCUAUUAACCAAUUAAGAAAAUUGACUGAUAACUUGGAGUUCUUGGGAAAAAAGUUUUCCUGUAUAUAGUAUGUGUGUUACCAUACUGACGGUGACUUAGGGCCCUGGUAAUUUCUGUAGCAGGAGGCUGUAUGGGUCUGGGGGCAGUUGAGAAUGCUAGAGUAGAUGACUGGUGUGGAAAUUCCCAGGGGGUGGUGACUCUGUUUUUCACCUUGCCAUGUCCAGGCGGGCCAGAGAGAAUGAGUACUCAAGAUACCUAGCCCAAACAUUCAUGAAGAAGACCCCAAGUCAGAAAAGACUUAUUCCUCCUUUGCAUGAUCCUGUAAGGAUGGAAGAGGUAUUUGAGGGAGCUAUAUCUCAAGCCUAUGUCAUGUGGUAGGAACCUUGACUUCCUUUAAUUCACCUGAUACUGAAUCAUGAUAAUAGCUACCUUUUUUUUUUUUUUUAGCUCUUCCCGUAUGCUAGGAGCUUUAGUAUUUAUUGUCUCAUUCACAACAACCCUGCAAGGUAUGUCUUGUUUUCUCCAUUUUACACAAGACACAGUUGAGGCACACAGAGGAUAAGUAACUGCCAAGGUUUCUUAGCUGGCAAGUGGUAGAGGUGUAUUUGAACAUGGGUCUGUUUCAUGUCGAAGCCCAAACUCCACAUUUCUGGUUUGUCUCUAGCAGAUUAGUUUAGACUAAGAAACAGCCCAGGCACUGGGCCACUGUGCUUGCUGACUCUGCCUUGUUCACUUGGUGAUGCUGUGUGUGACAGAUUAACACUUUAUACCUUGGCUUACCUAUCAGUCACUUGGGGAUUUGGGAUUUAUGGGAAAAGGCCCUACCCAUGCAGGGCAGAGAGAUUUUAAGAGAUACAGCUAUUAGUAAUGGCUUUAGAAUCUUUUGCAUGUAGAAAAUUCCUUAGACUACCAACUAAUGAGCGAAGUGACUUCCAAGUUUAAAUGAAUUCUAUAUAAAGAAUACAAGACACCCUUGUGGAUAUAACUGAGGAAAAAGGCCCUGUAAUUUUAAUAUCCUUGCUUUGGUGGAAAAUCAAUAGGUAUCAAAUGAAAUAAUGAGGUCAGAUAUGUUACAUAAUACCCUGAUGUUUAUCUCUGGUAAUUAAGUCUGCAGAAAAAGACUUACUUGAAUAAAUCUUUUGUCUCUAAACUCUGCUUAUAUGAAAUAGCACCAUUUGGCAAAGGCCAAAUUCCUGGUGGAUAUCUCACUGAGGAAGCAAACAUUUUCAAGAAUGCCAGAGUUAAAGGGAGACAACACACACCCUAAACAAGACUGUGAAGAUACUAUGAAACUAUUCUGUUGAAACCAUAAGCAUAGUAUCUUUUCCAGGGUGAGGGGUUUCUGUACCUCUCUUGAGUGAAGUCGCUCUUUCUGCAACCCCCACUUCACCUGCGUUAUGGAUUUGCACGUAAGGGAAUUUUUCUGAAUCUUCCCGUCUUCUACAGACCAACAAUGUUUCCUCUCUCCUCAGAACUCCCACUUGAAGGAGUUGCCAAGACAUUCCUCUGUUUGCCCAUUAGCAGAGUCAGGGAUAUCAGAGUAUUUGCAAGCCAGCUAGAGAGCCUUUGAUGGCUUUUAUGUUAUGUUGAAAACAAAAUGUUGUGUUAUUGUGCAAGAGGAAGAUUAUGUGUGUGUCAUCAUUUUAUGCUUGGUCUCCUAUAUCCAAUCCUGCUCUAAGUUGUCAUUUCAUUUCCUAACCUCCUCCCCUCCCAGUCGGGUAUUUCUGUUCCAUCCCUGGGUUUGUAGCCUUCCUUUUUUUUUCUUGAGUUCUGUGCAGCUCUGCAUUUCAGCAGACGUUUCCUAUGUAUCAAGCACUGUGCGGGGAGCUAGGGACACACAAGCUAGAAUGUGAUCCUGGCCUCUGAGAAGCUUACAAUCUUGGGAGACAGAUAUAAACAAUCUAUUUUCCUUAGAGUUUCCUUCUCCUGAAGCUUAGGCACCCAAACCCAUCACCACUGUCCCCCCACUUCAAUAGUUUCUCCUGUUUACUUGGUGGGGAGCAUUUCUUUAUGUAUUUGGAGACUCUCUAUAUUAUGGAGUUGCUGUUGCUACAAGUGAAAUUAGUCUAGCUUCCUACAGAGAGGGAAGUUACUCUCCCUGUUGAUUUUCAGAGAAGAAAGAACCCUUGUGAAGAUAGAUUCCAAACCAAGAGACCCAAGGAGCAAGCCCAUUAUUGUGCCAUAAAUAGGCCAUCACCUGGGCAGGUCCUGGGACAGCCUGGGAAAGGGGACUCGGUGAUCUUAGGGCCCACUCUCCCUUUAAUCUGCUCUCCCAGACAAAGCAGACCGGAAGUGUUGACUUUGGCAAUAGGAGACUGGCCAAUAGCCUGCAGCUCAGUGAAUGAAAUUAGAAUCUUGAGUGGAUGGGGAGAGGGAGGUAUCUCCAACACUAAUAGCAAUCAAAGGGUUUGUGCUAUGGUUAUAAUCAGUGUGGCAGAGGAAAGUCAAAGGAAUACCAUUUCCAAUAAACUCAGAGGCGUGAAAAGGCAAAUCAAUUUUAUGAACACCCAUGAAAUUGGUUGGUUGUGACCACUAUGGGUGGAAACACUGAGCUUCAGUGGAAUUUCCCUUAAUAUUAAACCAGGAAACUAGAGUCCCUGGUUAUCUCUCUGUCAUAUACAGCAGCUGACAUCUAUUCUUCCCUGGGGAUUGGGCAGAUCUUAAAGUUGAUGUCCUAAGCUUCUGGCUGGUAUCACAGCUGGAUAGGGGUUGGGUCAGGCCAUCACCUUUAGAAAACCAGUUCUUUAGGCUCUCUUUCCAAUGGGAUUUCUCUGAAACCUUGUUCAUGAUGAUGCCAACUUGUGUCUCCUUGAAAAAUCAAAACAAUGGAAUUAAACUUGGGUGUUCUCCUAUAGAUCUAGCAUUUUAUGUCACAGUCAGGGUAGACCAAUGUGCUGUUGGGUCCUGGCAGGCUCGUGUGCAGCUCUGGAGAUGUUCCAAAGUGGGUGCAGUCGACAGCCACCCAUCUGCAUACUCCACAGUGGUCUAGUUUAACAAUGCUGACCUAUUAUCCCUCUAAACCUUGAAAACUCUGUGGUCUCGGCAUCCAAGCCAUGUCUUCCAGUAGACUCUCACACCCAGAUCAGCAAAACCUCUUUUGUCAGACCAUAUCUUGAGUUUAGGCUUCAAAAAAAAUGGCAUUGUAGGUUAGCUUUGUGGGGUGGGGUGAGUAAAACUCCAGUCCUGGAGUUUUUAGGGGUAUGGCUGCUCUUGGGGGCUUGGCAUGGAGGGAAGAAGGGGCCAAGAUAGUGGUUGGCACGAGGAUAUGGAGAACUUUGGAAGCAGAACCAGAGACUCUGAGGAUUGAGGCCCAGGAAAGUUUGGCACGAGUAACAGCUGGGUAUUUAACCAGGAACACUCUAUUUUUCUGAGCCUUGGCAGUAGGUCAGAGCAAAAAGCAGCUCUAGCAGGGUCUACAUCCUUCCUAUUGUCUCCACCCCAACCUCACUCAUCGUCCCAAACAUCUGCUUCCAAUUCGGGCCCUUGCCUUCUUGUCUGAUUCCUGUACAAACUGCGGGUGGCACGGGUGAGGGGCAGGUCUGCAGGUGUGGACUGGGGAAGAAGGGGAAGGCUCUGGAAGAAGCUGCUUACAGGUUUGCUUUCAGGUCCUGAUGAAGGAGUAAGGAUUUGAUCUAUUAAAAAAUUUUGUAUUUGUG